GAUCCUGGCUCGGGAUGAACGCUGGCGGCAGGCUAAUACAUGCAAGUCGAACGGUAACAUGCCGGUGGCAACACUGGCGAUGACGAGUGGCGCACGGGUGCGUAACGCGUAUGCAACCUGCCCUCAACCGGGACACAACGCCGAGAAAUUGGCGCUAAUAUCCCAUGUGUAUAAGGUGACGGCAUCGCACAAUAUAUAAAGAUUCAUUGGUUGAGGAUGGGCAUGCGUAACAUUAGCUAGUUGGCGGGGUAACGGCCCACCAAGGCGACGAUGUUAGGGGUUCUGAGAGGAUUCACCCCCACACUGGAACUGAGACACGGUCCAGACUCCUACGGGAGGCAGCAGUAGGGAAUAUUGGGCAAUGGAGGCAACUCUGACCCAGCCAUGCCCGCGUGAAGGAAGACGGCCCUAUGGGUUGUAAACUUCUUUGCCGCAGAGUAACCGCGGGGACGCGUCCCCGCCUGAGAGUAUGCGGCGAAUAAGUAUCGGCUAACUCCGUGCCAGCCGCAGC
rnacentral:rRNA from 1 species